rnacentral:rRNA from 1 species
CCUACGGGAGACAGCAGUGAGGAAUAUUGGUCAAUGGCCGAGAGGCUGAACCAGCCAAGUCGCGUGAGGGAAGAAUGUCCUAUGGAUUGUAAACCUCUUUUGUCAGGGAGCAAAGUCACCCACGUGUGGGUGUUGGAGAGUACCUGAAGAAAAAGCAUCGGCUAACUCCGUGCCAGCAGCCGCGGUAAUACGGAGGAUGCGAGCGUUAUCCGGAUUUAUUGGGUUAAAAGGGUGCGUAGGCGGGUUAUCAAGUCAGCGGUAAAAUCGUGGAGCUCAACUCCAUCCAGCCGUUGAAACUGAUGAUCUUGAGUGGGCGAGAGGUAUGCGGAAUGCGUGGUGUAGCGGUGAAAUGCAUAGAUAUUGCGCAGAACUCCGAUUGCGAAGGCAGCAUACCGGCGGCGAUCUGACGCUGAGGCACGAAAGCGUGGGUAGCGAACAGGAUUAGAUACCCGGGUAGUC